GAUGAACGCUGGCGGCGUGCCUAAUACAUGCAAGUCGAGCGAACGGACGAGAAGCUUGCGUCUCUGAUGUUAGCGGCGGACGGGUGAGUAACACGUGGAUAACCUACCUAUAAGACUGGGAUAACUUCGGGAAACCGGAGAUGAUACCGGAUAAUAUUUUGAACCGCAGGGAUCAAAAGUGAAAGACGGUCUUGGUGUCACUUAGAGAUGGAUCCGCGCUGCAUUGGCUAGUUGGUAAGGUAACGGCCUACCAAGGCAACGAUGCAUGCCCGACCGGAGGGGUGAUUCGCCCACCUGGGACUGAGACCCCGUCCCGACCCCCACGGGAGGGCGCCGGUAGGAAUUCUUCCGCAUUGGGCGAAAGCCUAUCCGAGCAUCGCGGCUGGGUUGAUGAAGGCCUCCGGUUCUUAAGCCCCUUUUUUUGGAAAAGAACACAUCGUAUUUAUCUGCGCCUGUCCUGACGGUACCUAAUCAGAAAGCACCGGCUAACUUCGUG
rnacentral:rRNA from 1 species